rnacentral:rRNA from 1 species
CCUACGGGAGGCAGCAGUAGGGAAUAUUGGACAAUGGGUGAGAGCCUGAUCCAGCCAUGCCGCGUGCAGGAAGAAGGCGUUAUGCGUUGUAAACUGCUUUAGCCAGGGGAUAAAACGGCUCUGCGGAGCUAAUUGAAGGUACCUGGAUAAUAAGCCACGGCUAACUACGUGCCAGCAGCCGCGGUAAUACGUAGGUGGCAAGCGUUGUCCGGAUUUAUUGGGUUUAAAGGGUGCGUAGGCGGCCUUAUAAGUCAGUGCUGAAAUAUCCCGGCUUA